CAGUAGCCGCGGUAAUACGGAGGGAGCUAGCGUUGUUCGGAAUCACUGGGCGUAAAGCGCACGUAGGCGGCUAUUCAAGUCAGGGGUGAAAGCCCGGGGCUCAACCCCGGAACUGCCUUUGAAACUAGGUAGCUUGAAUCUUGGAGAGGCGAGUGGAAUUCCGAGUGUAGAGGUGAAAUUCGUAGAUAUUCGGAAGAACACCAGUGGCGAAGGCGACUCGCUGGACAAGUAUUGACGCUGAGGUGCGAAAGCGUGGGGAGCAAACAGGAUUAGAUACCCGGGUAGUCCCUGUCUCUUAUAC
rnacentral:rRNA from 1 species